UCCAAAAUCUCCCUGGGCAACAAGAACUAGUUCUGGCUUGUUCUCUGUCUUCUCUGAGUGUGGUUUAAGUGAUACUGUGUCAGGACAGCCGUCAUCUCAGAUAAUUGACCACGAGAGGAAACUCAAGAUGGACAAAGAGGACAAUUGGAAUAUUAAUGAAGAGGUAAUACAUGUCAAAGAGAAAAUAAGAAAAUGGAUUUCAACUGUAUGACUGGGUUGAAAAGCAGCACUUGAUUAGCCGGCCAUCCUAGCAAUAUCUUGAGAGAAUGGAGCCGAAGAGAGAAUUGCCGAAGAGCUUUGGGUCACCAUAAA